rnacentral:tRNA from 1 species
GCCGAAAUAGCUCAGUUGCGAGAACGUUAGACUAUAGAUCGAAAGGUCCCUGGUUCGAUCCCGGGCUUCGUCA